UACGGGGGGGGCAAGCGUUGUUCGGAAUUACUGGGCGUAAAGGGCUCGUAGGCGGCCAACUAAGUCGGAUGUGAAAUCCCCAGGCUUAACCUGGGAACUGCAUCCGAUACUGGAUGGCUUGAAUUCGGGAGAGGGAUGCAGAAUUCCAGGUGUAGCGGUGAAAUGCGUAGAUAUCUGGAGGAAUACCGGUGGCGAAGGCGGCAUCCUGGACCGUAACUGACGCUGAGACACGAAAGCGUGGGUAGCAAACAGG
rnacentral:rRNA from 1 species